rnacentral:rRNA from 1 species
UACGUAGGGCGCAAGCGUUGUCCGGAAUUAUUGGGCGUAAAGAGCUCGUAGGCGGUCUGUUACGUCCGCUGUGAAAACCCAGGGCUUAACCCUGGGCUUGCAGUGGAUACGGGUAGACUAGAGGCAGGUAGGGGAGAAUGGAAUUCCCGGUGCAGCGGUGAAAUGCGCAGAUAUCGGGAGGAACACCGGUGGCGAAGGCGGUUCUCUGGGCCUGACCUGACGCUGAGGAGCGAAAGCGUGGGGAGCGAACAGG